GCCACUUGAGCUUAGUGGUAGAGCGUCUGCUUCGUAAGCAGAAGGUCGUUAGUUCAAUCCUG
rnacentral:tRNA from 1 species